UACGGAGGGUGCAAGCGUUAUCCGGAUUCACUGGGUUUAAAGGGUGCGUAGGUGGGUUGGUAAGUCCGUGGUGAAAUCCCCAAGCUUAACUUGGGAACUGCCGUGGAUACUAUCAAUCUUGAAUAUCGUUGAGGUAAGCGGAAUAUGUCAUGUAGCGGUGAAAUGCUUAGAUAUGACAUAGAACACCGAUAGCGGAGGCAGCUUACUUCACGAUCAUUGACACUGAGGCACGAAAGCGUGGGGAGCAAACAGG
rnacentral:rRNA from 1 species